rnacentral:rRNA from 1 species
AACUUAGUAAGGAUCCUUCGGGUGAAAAACUAAGUGGAAAGUAGCGGACGGGUGAGUAACGCGUGGGAAACCUGCCUUAUACAGGGGAAUAGCCUCGGGAAACCGGGAUUAAUGCCCCAUAAAGCUCUAGUAUGGCAUCAUACAUGAGUCAAAGCUCCGGCGGUAUAAGAUGGUCCCGCGUCCCAUUAGCUAGUUGGUAAGGUAAAGGCUUACCAAGGCGACGAUGGGUAGCCGGCUUGAGAGAGUGAACGGCCACACUGGAACUGAGACACGGUCCAGACUCCUACGGGAGGCAGCAGUGGGGAAUAUUGCACAAUGGGGGAAACCCCGAUGCAGCGACGCCGCGUGAGCGAAGAAGGCCUUCGGGUCGUAAAGCUCUGUCCUAAGGGAAGAUAAUGACGGUACCUUAGGAGGAAGCCCCGGCUAACUACGUGCCAGCAGCCGCGGUAAUACGUAGGGGGCAAGCGUUAUCCGGAAUUACUGGGCGUAAAGGGUGCGUAGGCGGCCAAUUAAGUCAGAUGUUAAAGGCUACGGCUCAACCGUAGUAAGCAUUUGAAACUGGUUGGCUUGAGUACAGGAGAGGAAAGUGGAAUUCCUAGUGUAGCGGUGAAAUGCGUAGAUAUUAGGAGGAACACCAGUGGCGAAGGCGACUUUCUGGACUGUAACUGACGCUGAGGCACGAAAGCGUGGGGAGCGAACAGGAUUAGAUACCCUGGUAGUCCACGCCGUAAACGAUGAGUGCUAGGUGUUGGGGGUCGAACCUCAGUGCCGAAGUUAACACAUUAAGCACUCC